rnacentral:misc_RNA from 1 species
GAUGAAGAACGUAGCGAAAUGCGAUAAGUAAUGUGAAUUGCAGAAUUCAGUGAAUCAUCGAAUCUUUGAACGCACAUUGCGCCCGCUAGUAUUCUGGCGGGCAUGCCUGUUCGAGCGUCAUUUCAACCAUCAAGCCCUGUUUAGGCUUGUGUUGGGGCCCUGCGGUUGCCGCAGCCCCCUAAAUGCAGUGGCGGGCUCGUUGUCACUCCGAGCGCAGUAGCGUAUCUCGCUCUGGGCGUGGCGGCGGGUGCUAGCCGUGAAACACCCACUAAGGUUAACCUCGGAUCAGGUAGGAAUACCCGCUGAACUUAAGCAUAUCAAUAAGCGGAGGA